rnacentral:rRNA from 1 species
UACGUAGGGUGCGAGCGUUAAUCGGAAUUACUGGGCGUAAAGUGUGCGCAGGUGGCUGAGCAAGUCGAGUGUGAAAGCCCCGGGCUCAACCUGGGAAUUGCAUUGGAAACUGGCGGGCUUGAGUGUGGCAGAGGGGGGUGGAAUUCCACGUGUAGCAGUGAAAUGCGUAGAGAUGUGGAGGAACACCGAUGGCGAAGGCAGCCCCCUGGGCUAACACUGACGCUCAGGCACGAAAGCGUGGGGAGCAAACAGG